rnacentral:rRNA from 1 species
GACGAACGCUGGCGGCGUGCUUAACACAUGCAAGUCGAACGGAAAGGCCCUGCUUUUGUGGGGUGCUCGAGUGGCGAACGGGUGAGUAACACGUGAGUAACCUGCCCUUGACUUUGGGAUAACUUCAGGAAACUGGGGCUAAUACCGGAUAGGAGCUCCUGCUGCAUGGUGGGGGUUGGAAAGUUUCGGCGGUUGGGGAUGGACUCGCGGCUUAUCAGCUUGUUGGUGGGGUAGUGGCUUACCAAGGCUUUGACGGGUAGCCGGCCUGAGAGGGUGACCGGCCACAUUGGGACUGAGAUACGGCGCAGACUCCUACGGGAGGCAGCAGUGGGGAAUAUUGCACAGUGGGCGGAAGCCUGAUGCAGCAACGCCGCGUGCGGGAUGACGGCCUUCGGGUUGUAAACCGCUGUCGCCUGUGACGAAGAGUGAGUGACGGUAAUGGGUAAAGAAGCACCGGCUAACUACGUG